rnacentral:rRNA from 1 species
UACGUAGGGGGCAAGCGUUGUCCGGAAUUAUUGGGCGUAAAGCGCGCGCAGGCGGUUAUUUAAGUCUGGUGUUUAAACCUUGGGCUCAACCUGAGGUCGCACUGGAAACUGGGUGACUUGAGUACAGAAGAGGAAAGUGGAAUUCCACGUGUAGCGGUGAAAUGCGUAGAUAUGUGGAGGAACACCAGUGGCGAAGGCGACUUUCUGGGCUGUAACUGACGCUGAGGCGCGAAAGCGUGGGGAGCAAACAGGAUUAGAUACCCUGGUAGUCCACGCCGUAAACGAUGAGUGCUAGGUGUUAGGGGUUUCGAUACCCUUGGUGCCGAAGUUAACACAGUAAGCACUCCGCCUGGGGAGUACGGUCGCAAGACUGAA